CGAUGUUUUGUCAGCAAGGAACCCUAAGUAAACCUUAUUUCACGUCUAAUGGAUGGGGAGCAUCACAUUGGAAUAGGGGUUAAGAAGCGGGGAACUUUUUUGUGCUCCAUACCGUAAGGGAACUGAAGCAAGAAUGAAAUUGAGAGUCAAUAUGGCAUGUACAUGGGAGAGAUUGUGACCGUUGCUUCUGGGCAGCUAUGAAAAGUUGAGAGCCAACAAGAAUCCUGUUUUCAUCCCAUGCGAUGACCAGUUAUCCUUGCAGUGGUACUAUACUUUUACCUACUUAAACUUGUAACGUCAUCUCUCCCCUAUAUCAAGUUUCUCUGUGAAUUGAGACAAGAUUUCCUGAGAUUAGAACGAGCAUGAAAAGCACUGAAGAAAUUAGAUGUGAUUUUAGCGAACAUGUCAUGAACAUUUACUGCCAGCGUCUUCACUGAGAAUUGGUGACAUAGAGAAGAAUCAACCAAGAGUCCUUUUCCCCAAGAAACUCAGUCUGAUUGAGGGCAAGAGAUACAGGCUCUAGGACCAGUGUGGAGCCCAGUGCGGGGCUUGAAUUCAUGACCCUGAGAUCGAGACCUGAGUUGAGAUCAAGAGUCCAAUGCUUAACCAAUCAAGCUACCCAGGUGCCCCAUUUUUACUACAAGUAUUUCAAGUGGAAAUUUUGUAUCACCGUUGUAAACAGAAAACCAAUCCUCAGGCUUGUGCUAUAAUAAAUUAUAUUUCAUCUAAGGCA